UACGGAGAGGGCUGGUGUUAUUCGCAUUGACUGGGUGUAAAGGGUGCGUAGGUGGCGAGGUAAGUCAGGUGUGAAAUCUCGGAGCUCAACUCCGAAACUGCACUUGAUACUGCCCUGCUCGAGUACUGGAGAGGAGAUUGGAAUUUACGGUGUAGCAGUGAAAUGCGUAGAUAUCGUAAGGAAGACCAGUGGCGAAGGCGAAUCUCUGGACAGUUACUGACACUGAGGCACGAAGGCCAGGGGAGCAAAACGGG
rnacentral:rRNA from 1 species